CAAGUGGAAAGCUUCUGCAUAACAAAUGACCCUCGGUGCUGCUCUUGGAGACUUAGUCACAGAAUGCAGAGCCAUGGGUACCUGUUCACGUGGCAUCUCCAUGUUUGCAUCUGACAUGGAUAUUCAAGACCUGCCUGGACUCUAUCCUCCUCAACCUACUGUGGAGAAGAGCUGCCAUGCUGUGAUGAUCAUUGGCCAGUUGCACUCCCCUGGACACAUCUCACCAGGAUAUGCACUGAGUUAGGACCCCGUCAUCCUCUCACUGGACCUGCGUUGAACAGAGCUGGGCCCAUCUCGCAUACUUUCCGCUAGCAGCUCGAAGGAUUUAGGGCUGGAGGUGGACUAAUAGCAACAUUUUAAUGAGAAGAAAGAUGCAGAAGGACAUCUUCAUUUCACACGAAGGACUAGGCAUCUGCCUGGAAGUUUAGGGUCGCAGAGAGAGGCUGAAGCAGAGAAGGGGAAAGAAACGCACCUGUCUGAAUUGCCAGCCUACAGACCCAGGCUCCCUCUGCAAUCACUGCCACAGAAAGGAAAGAUUGAAUGAAUGGAAAAGUUGUGAGAAGACAUGGAAGAAGCAAUGUUGUUGAUGGAGCACCGAUCCAUCCUGGAGCAGGGAGUCAGCAACAGCCCUCUGAACCCAGACCCUUUUGACUGCUUGACUUUCCUGUAACUGGUUGAGCUAAGUUCGCCUGACCUGCUGUCUGGACUCAGCAACUGGAGGACGCUGUAUGCUGACACGACUACAUGGCUUUGGAUCAACUCAAGGGGUAAGCGGUGGAGACUGCCUCUGUUUGCUCUUGGACUACUUAUUUGCCUUGAAAAAGGAAAAGAAAAUGAACCGAUGGCUUGGAAAAUAUCGCUCUUAAAGUCUGUCAGAAGUCCGUGCAAAGCAAAUUGAGCUCCUUGUUAGGGAAUAAUGCAUCUUUUUUCCCCUCAGCUUAGAGCUAUAUUUUUUUAAUAGCAAGAGCUGGCGUGUGCAAAGGGUGGGGUUUGAAUUUCAUGUGUGGUAAUGAUUCCUCAGUAACUCCCAGGUUCUGUACUUCAGCACUUCGCUCAGAGCCUCUUCUUGCAGUGUAGCAUCAUGUGCUCCCAGAUGGAGCUGGAAGGAGACUGGCGUGGCUUGGAGGAGAACCCUGGAGAAUUGGCUGUUCUGCAAGAGCUGCUCGGGAUUAGUUCUCCAGACAGACAAUUUCUAAAUCUGGUUUGCCCUGAAUGUUGAGACAACAUUUGUGGCUGGUUGUGUAGAUGUGAAUGAGUGUGAGUAAAUGGCUCUUGGCAGGCAGACAGGCGCAGUUGUUUAUCCCAGACACAAACCUGGCCAGCAGCUAGGUUGCUUCAUAUGGCCAUGACUGUGAGGUCUGCCAGAUUUGUAAUCUUAUUGGUCAGAAACGGAACUGGAGCAUUAAUUAAAGGUAGUAACUGUGAAUGAUCCUAUAAAAUACAGCAUGCGUUUGCAUUUCAAGGACUAUCCUCUUUCCUUUGUUUAAAUGCAUGGCCUGGUUACAAAUCAGUUUGGCUCGAUGUCCAGUUGAUUCGACUCUUUCUGUGAUCCAAGUUGGCAUCCCUGUUAUUCACAUGGACCUGGUUGAUGACAAAAAACUAAUCUGGAAUCAACAAUAUCCUGGAAAUAUUCAAUUUAUUUAAGACAAUUCUGAAGCUCCCUUAUAGAGCAGCCAACAAAGCUGCUAUUGCAAAUAAGACAAAUACCUUACCCUGAAUAUGUCCAGUUCUUUUCUACCCCCGUUGCUUCCUGUUGGAUGACACCUACAGUCAUUUGCAAACAUGAGUAACAGACAUCCUGCAUAUGUUUACUCUUCCUUGCAAGCAUUUGCAGUUAGAGGUUGAGUUACUUCAGCUCAGACAGCGUUAUUGUUCUGUGUGCAUGGAAGUGCUGCAGUGUGAACUGGAAUCUGG
ensembl:lncRNA